UACGUAGGGGGCAAGCGUUGUCCGGAUUUAUUGGGCGUAAAGAGCGUGUAGGCGGCCAUUCAGAUCAGCUGUGAAAACUCGAGGCUCAACCUCGAGACGUCGGUUGAAACCGUUUGGCUAGAGUCCGGAAGAGGAGAGUGGAAUUCCCGGUGUAGCGGUGAAAUGCGCAGAUAUCGGGAAGAACACCCGUGGCGAAGGCGGCUCUCUGGGACGGUACUGACGCUGAGACGCGAAAGCGUGGGGAGCGAACAGG
rnacentral:rRNA from 1 species